rnacentral:rRNA from 1 species
UGGGGAAUAUUGGACAAUGGGCGAAAGCCUGAUCCAGCCAUGCCGCGUGUGAAGAAGGUCUUCGGAUUGUAAAGCACUUUAAGUUGGGAGGAAGGGCAGUUACCUAAUACGUGAUUGUUUUGACGUUACCGACAGAAUAAGCACCGGCUAACUCUGUGCCAGCAGCCGCGGUAAUACAGAGGGUGCAAGCGUUAAUCGGAAUUACUGGGCGUAAAGCGCGCGUAGGUGGUUAGUUAAGUUGGAUGUGAAAUCCCCGGGCUCAACCUGGGAACUGCAUUCAAAACUGACUGACUAGAGUAUGGUAGAGGGUGGUGGAAUUUCCUGUGUAGCGGUGAAAUGCGUAGAUAUAGGAAGGAACACCAGUGGCGAAGGCGACCACCUGGACUGAUACUGACACUGAGGUGCGAAAGCGUGGGGAGCAAACAGGAUUAGAUACCCACGUAGUCCCUGAGCGGGCUGGCAAGGCGCAU